CAUUAGGCUUUUUUAAAAGCCCCAGUUUUAGAUUUUUAGUGGAUGU
rfam:Mesitornis unicolor contig93049, whole genome shotgun sequence.